GAAAGUGUAAUUAGCAUCCAAACAAGUCGUAAGGGAAUUAGGAGGGCAAAGAGCAGGUGGUCACGUAAGCAACAAGGGAAACGACUCCUUGCGAUCUCACCGCCUUACGCCACUCUACGGACUCUCUGGAACUUUCCCUUGUCUCUUCCGCCACCUUCCAUUCCGCCACUAUAGUCUACUAGUCUAGGAAGAAAGAAGAGCGCAUUAGUAUUAGUGGUCGAAAAGAUGUUCAAGAAGGCAGUGGACGCCAAGUCCCACCAGCGGCUUUCUGGGGCGGACAGGAAGAAGCUCCGUCGCACUAUCAGAGACCGUUUCUCUAACGCCUCUGAUUCCCUUCUCGACCUUCUACUUCCUCCUAAGGCAGAGUUAGCUGUUUCCAAAUAUCCUAAUCGUGUACUCGUUUAUGGCUUGGAGGGCGAUUGUCCCCUCUUUUUUGACCCAGAUGGUCGAGGUCGUGAUAUAUUCCCUACAGUUUAUGCUCUGUGGAGAGUCCCAGAACUUUUGCCUGCUUUUGUGCUGAAAGGGGGUGAAGUUUCUCGUUUUAUGCUCGGAGGGGCAGAUUUAAUGUUCCCUGGCAUCAGUAUACCUUCUGAAGGGUUUCCCUCAUUUUCUGCUGGGGAGCCAUGGGCAGUGAAGGUUCCUGGAAACCCUGCAGCAAUAGCUGUGGGAACAACUACCAUGAGUAGCACAGAAGCUUUAAAAGCUGAUCUACGUGGAAAGGCCUUGAAAAUAUGUCAUUACUAUCGAGACACCCUUUGGGAAUCUGCUGAAAAUUGUCAUGUACCAAAUGCUGGUUUUCUAGAAGACGUCGUGUUUGAAGAUCCUGCUCUGUCCAUGAGUAGUAGGGCAUCUGAUUCAAGUGAAAUUGAUCCUUCAGUUGACCCAGGAAAUGUGACUAACAAUGAAGAUAUGGGAGAAGUGAUUGAUGCUGAAGCAGCUUCAUCAGGUUUUGGUCAUCCGUCUACUAAACAGAGUGAUGGAGCAGAUGAAGUUGUGCAGCUUACGAGUGAUCUAAGCGAGUUGAAGGUUGCAGAAAGUCCUGUAGAUGAAUCAAAUACUGAGGGACAACAUUCCUUGUCUGUUGAAGAGGUAGAUGCACUCUUGGACAAAUGCCUUCUACAAGCACUACAUACGACAAUUAAGGAGAAAGACCUGCCCAUCCCUGGAAGUACAUUUUGGUCAAGUCACGUGCUACCUUGUAGGCCUCCAGGCAUAAUACUCGACAUAAAGAAGUCAUCUCACAAGAAAUUGUCCAAGUGGCUACAGGCUAAAGCCUCUGGUGGAUUGAUCUCAGUGAAAGAAGAUAAACAUAAGAAAGAGGUGAUUCUGUUCUCUGUUAAUCGAAAUCAUCCAGACUAUUUGUCCUACAAGCCAGAAAAGAAAAAAGUGGACAAGCCUGGCCCCUCAACAAAUAAUGCUUCUGGUGAAGAACAGCUGCAGAAGACACUGGAAGUUUUUGAAGUUUAUAAACCAAGCGUGCAUGUAAAUCCUAUUUUUGCUUCUGUUGGUGCUGAAACUAGUAGACUUUACACUGCAUCUGAAGCCUCUGAAAUAGUGUUCCAGUAUGUUGAGAAAGAAAAUCUUGUCAAGCCAUCGAAUAAGUCCAGUGUGACAUUAGAUGCAACUCUAUGUGAUGCUUUAUUUAAGGGAGCCAUAAAAAAGGGAUCAACUUAUCCAACUGAAAUUCAUAAGAAGGAUUUGGGGCAAACUUUCAUUGGUAGGAUGCAAGCACAUCAUUGCGUGAUUAGGGGAAACGAUAGAGUUGUUCGCAAAGGUGCCUUGAAACCAGUCCAGAUAAUGACAGAACGGAGGCAAGGAAAUAAGAAAAUGACUAAACUUUCUGGAGUGGAGUCAUUUCUGUUGGAUGCAGAGGCUUUGGCUUCAGAGUUGCAGAAGAAGUUUGCCUGUAGUACAACUGUGGCAGAACUUCCAGGUAAGAAAGGGCAAGAAGUUUUGGUUCAAGGCGGAGUUAUUGAUGAUCUUGCAAGAUAUCUUGUUGAGCACUAUGGUGUCCCAAAAAGAUAUAUUGAAGUGCUCGAUAAAACAAAGCGGUAAGAAAGUUGGAAUCUUAUGUUCCGGCCCAAAAUUUUUGAAGACUGUAAUGUUAUUUGACGAUCUGCUAGCGCUGCUUGAUGGAACCAUAAAAUGAGAAGUUGAAGCGAAAUAUCUCCUCGCCUUGCUUCCGAUUACAUGUAGGUUGUAAGCAGCUUCCUGAAAAGCUUUGCUGCAGCUUCCUCAGGCUUGCAAUCAAGCAGACAGCUUGCAAGUAGCUCAAAUAGGUAGCUUGCAAGUAGUUCAACCAGGCAGCUUGUCAGCAGCUUCUGAAAAGCCUCGCAGAAAGCUUCUUGAAAAUCCUCGCAGCAUUUUCUUUUCUUCUAUAAGUAGGAAGUCAAUUCAGUUCAUUUGUACAUCAAUUGAAAGAGCAAUAAAAUAUCUCUCCCCUUCAACUUCUUUGGCUAUAUUUUUUAUUGUUGUGUAUUUUUAAUAUUAUUUUAUAACACGUUAUCAACACGAGAUUCUGACAUCUUGAGCAACUACUUUGAAAGCCUUGAAGGUAUGACUUUCUUUUUCUCAAUUAAUGGUAAAUCUUCUAAACUUGAAUU